rnacentral:sRNA from 1 species
AGAUCAGGAAAUAGAGUUGGUGACA